GUCGUGAGAUGUUGGGUUAAGUCCCGCAACGAGCGCAAUCCCUACUGUGUGUUGUAUCACUCACACGGGACUGCCGAGAGAAACUCGGAGGAAGGUGGGGAUGACGUCAAGUCAGCAUGGCCCUUACGUCCUGGGCUACACCCACGCUACAAUGGCCGGUACAACGGGCUGCGAAACCGCGAGGUGGAGCGAAUCCCUUAAAGCCGGUCUCAGUUCGGAUCGUAGGCUGCAACUCGCCUACGUGAAGCCGGAGUUGCUAGUAACCGCCGGUCAGCAUACGGCGGUGAAUAUGUUCCCGGGCCUUGUACACACCGCCCGUCACGUCAUGAAAGCUGGUAACACCCGAAGCCGGUGGGCCAACCGCAAGGAGGCAGCCGUCGAAGGUGGGAUCGGUGAUUGGGACGAAGUCGUAACAAGGUAGCCGUACCGGAAGGUGCGGCUGGAUCACCUCCUUUCUAGGGAGUUGUCAGUCGAGUUCCUCGGUGGGAGCUCGGCGCUCUAAGACUCCCAGGGUUGAUCGCACGGUCGAUCGCGUUCCCCGCCAGGUGGGGCGCGGCUCGUCAGGUCCGCAAGGGCCGGAUGGGAAGACCGAUCGCGACCUGGCGAACACCGAACCGUUCGGACAUUCGAACCGCUUUUCCUGCCACUCUUCAAGGGUUAAGGUGCAACCGCCGGCGUCGACGUCGUCGACCAUCGAGUCGGCACCGCCCCGGCGGGCGUUUAGCUCAGCUGGUUAGAGCACUGCCCUGAUAAGGCAGAGGUCUCUGGUUCGAGUCCAGAAACGCCCACCAUCGUCCAUCGGCAACCGCAAGAGCGUCACAAGGGGACGUAGCUCAGUCGGUAGAGCAUCUCCUUUGCAAGGAGAGGGUCAGGAGUUCGAGUCUCCUCGUCUCCACCACUCUUACCGCCCGAGGCGUUCACCGGAGGAUCCCGGACUGAGCGAGGCACCACUCAAGAAUUGAAGAGCUCGGGUAAAACCCCGAGAUGACCCUCGGGUCCCAGGCGCGCUGUCAGGGUGACGGCUCGGAGGCUGGUCCUCGAGCCGUCAUUUUGUGUCCAGGCAGCACUUCGGUCCCCUGAUCCGUGCCCUCCGCCGGAGGCCACCGACCAGCGGAUCGCUGGAACGACGAGCGAUGGCUCGCCGUGAGGCCGAUAUCUGUUCGGCCGCACCUUACCAACUGGAUAUGUUUCGGCAAUCGAAGAACUUCGAUUUCGCCGAGUCGUUAAAGGAUCAUCCCGAUCCCCCGUGCGACUGACCGGUGUUCCCGGCCAGCUGCUGAAGGGGGUCAAGCUACAAAGGGCACGGGGUGGAUGCCUUGGCGCCAAGAGCCGAUGAAGGACGUGGCAGGCUGCGAAAAGCUUCGGGGAGUCGCGAGCAGACAUUGAUCCGAAGAUGU
rnacentral:sRNA from 1 species